CCAGUACAGAUGUGCACAGCUCCUUCACCCCCAAGGCUGCCAGAAGGUGACAGCUCUGUGUGUGCCUGCAGCUGCCUCAGAAAAAGGUGGUAGAAAAUGGCCAGAGCAAGGUAGGUGGAAGGCACAUCCUCUGUCUCCUUCUCAAGCUCAGCAGUGGCUGGUGAAGAAUUCAAGAGUGUACCAGUAAGCUUGGACCCACCUCAGCCCAGUGGCUUUUGUUUAGGAGCAGCAAACCAUGGAUUCCCAUCCGUGUACCACUGUGUCUGUGCCUCCUUAUGGAAAACACAGGGAGCAGCCAGCACCCCUGGGGCCAGGAGCCUUGGACAAGGACCACCAGGACAUGCUGAAGCCUUUGUCUGAGCUGAAAACUCUUGUUUUCAAGUGGCACUCAAAAAUGGAAUAAAAAUUAGAAUAUUUCUGAA